UCCCUAGAGGACCAUUGGUUAGGCCACAGCACUCUAACCGCCGCAGCCCGGGUUCGAUUCCUGGCCAGGGAA
rnacentral:tRNA from 1 species